rnacentral:rRNA from 1 species
UGGGUAAUAUUGCACAAUGGGCGCAAGCCUGAUGCAGCCAUGCCGCGUGUAUGAAGAAGGCCUUCUGGUUGCAAAGUACUUUCAGCUGGGAGGAAGGGAGUACAGUUAAUACCUUUGCUCAUUGACGUUACCCGCAGAAGAAGCACCGGCUAACUCCGUGCCAGCAGCCGCGGUAAUACGGAGGGUGCAAGCGUUAAUCGGAAUUACUGGGCGUAAAGCGCACGCAGGCGGUUUGUUAAGUCAGAUGUGAAAUCCUCGGGCUCGACCCGGGAACUGCAUCUGAUAAUGGCAAGCUUGAGUCUCGUAGAGGGGGGGAGAAUUCCAGGUGUAGGGGUGAAAUGCGUUGAGAUCUGGAGGAAUACCGGUGGCGAAGGCGGACCCCUGGACGAAGACUGACGCUCAGGUGCGAAAGCGUGGGGAGCAAACAGG